CAUGAAACAAACUAUCACUUAAACAAUGUGAUUAAGAGUAUUGUAUUAGAGAAUGAUCGUAUUGCAUUGUAGUUGUAACUGGAUAGGUUCUCCAACCAAUUCUACUUAGCUUGGGUGACCAUGAUAUUCUGCUAGGCGUCACUCAUGGUUUGUGGAAGCCCUAAUGGUUAGCAAACACUAAUCAAUAAAGGGAGAAUUGAAAUGUGGUUUCAAUUCACAAUUGAUCGUUAAGAGUAAC
rnacentral:lncRNA from 1 species